UCCCAGAUGGCUCAGUUGUAAAGAAUCUGCCUGCAAAUGCAGAAGAUACAGGUUCAAUCCCUGGUCCGGGAA
rfam:Ovis aries breed Texel chromosome 1, whole genome shotgun sequence.